GCACAGCGCAGGCGCGAACGCGCCUGAGGGCGGGGAGAGCGGGAGGAGGGGCACGGGAAGAGACGCAGAAAUACGGAUAUAUAUAUAGAGAGAGAGCGAGAGAGAGAGAUACAGAGAGUGAGGGUGAAACUGAGAGAUUGUGGGUUAUCGAGUCCUGCCUGUGACGGGACAGCGCCUUGUCAGCAAGGCCGUGGCACUGAGUGACGCUUGGGACACCUCCAGGGGCAGUGACUCUGCAGCGUCCCUGGGCUCCUUCAGAUGCUGGAACCUCACUUUCUCCAGGGUGAGCAGGACCAAUUUUCUCAACCUGACUUCACAGGGAAGGUGCUCCUGAUGAACUUGGUGGCCUCCUCUGGACUUGCUCCAACAGUUCCAUGUCUGUCUCACGCUGAGGACCCCAGAGCUGGAUGCAGCACUGCAGGUGAAGGUCUCACAAAAUGAGAAGAGAGGCAGAAUUGCCUCCUUUGACCUGCUGGCCAUGCAGGUCAUGGAUGCAGCCCAGGAUUCAUUUGGCUUUCUGGGCUGUGAGCGCAUGCUACUGGCUCUUGAUCUCCCACUGGCUUUCCCCGUAUCGCAAAUUAGUUGAGCACCAGCGGACCUUUUGUGAAGGCUGAAUCAACUGCAAGUACGUCUCUGGAGCAGGUUCCCUUGCCAUCAUUUCAGUGUCAUUUUGCAACUGCAGGAAAUGAGGUUUGCUGAGAAAGACAAAUGGGACUUGAAGCUGAGUACCAGGCCGCAUACUACUUCUUUGCCCCAAGCAUUUCAGAGAAGAGGUCUUCCAGGCUUUGGAAUGGCUCAGCCAUUAACAGCUGUGGCUAGUGACUUUGGAAGCAUAUCCCAGCAGUGUUAGUGCCUUGAACAUACUAUUGAUUUGGAUUGGAAUCAAAGUCUUUAGAUCUGUGUGUGCAAAAAUGACAUCUAAGAGAGGGAGGUAUUGAAUUCUGUAUGCUUCAAGAGAGUUUAUCUGGCAAUUAAAAAAUAUUUUUACCCAUG